GACUCCAUGAAGCUGGAUUCGCUAGUAAUCGCGCAUCAGCCACGGCGCGGUGAAUACGUUCCCGGGCCUUGUACACACCGCCCGUCAAGCCAUGGGAGCCGGGGGUACCUGAAGUGCGUGACCGCAAGGAGCGCCCUAAGGUAAAACCGGUGACUGGGGCUAAGUCGUAACAAGGUAUC
rnacentral:rRNA from 1 species